rnacentral:lncRNA from 1 species
UUCAAAUGCAUGUGCAUGUUGAAGUUGUUGGGCUUGACCUAUACCAUAAUUUCUCACCAUAGAGGUUAGUUCAGAAAUUUGAGAAGAGAGAAAAGACAUACUUACCGUAGCCAUGCUUGUAAGGUCUUGGCAGUGCGUUCAAUUUCUGGAUCGUAAAGAAGAGCUUCUUUACGAUCAGCCCUAGUCACAAAAGGAAAAUACGUUAGUUAGAUCAAAUCCCCGGCAAC